rnacentral:pre_miRNA from 1 species
GAGACACCCUUUAUGGUACAGGACUUGCUUCAGUAGGGCUUUGGUGGUCACUGAGUCUGCUCCUUGAGUGUGUCACU